UUCUAAAGAUUAAAAAAACCCCUACGAUUAAAAACCUCAGGUCCCUCAGGCAAUCAUACCAGAUAUUGAAACAAAGCAAUAACAUAAGGACUGCAGUAUUCAUUUUAUUUUUAUAUUAUUUAUUUAUUCUUCCUUAGUUUCUUGAGAUUAUCAUCCGCUGAGGGUGGAAGGGGAGUGAGCAGACACACUCAGGAGGUGUCUUGAGAUUAUCAUCCGCUGAGGGUAGAGCUGAGGGUGGAAGGGGAGUGAGCAGACACUCGGGAGGUGUCUUGAGAUUAUCAUCCGCUGAGGGUGGAAGGGGAUAGAGCACACACUCGGAAGGUGUCUUGAGAUUAUCAUCCGCUGAGGGUGGAAGGGGAUAGAGCACACACUCGGAAGGUGUCUUGAGGCUCAGGGAGUUAUCAAUUAUAGAAUGUUGUUGAGUUGGA
rnacentral:lncRNA from 1 species